CAGUAGCCACGGUAAUACGUAGGUCCCGAGCGUUGUCCGGAUUUAUUGGGCGUAAAGCGAGCGCAGGCGGUUAGAUAAGUCUGAAGUUUAAGGCUGUGGCUUAACCAUAGUACGCUUUGGAAACUGUUUAACUUGAGUGCAGAAGGGGAGAGUGGAAUUCCAUGUGUAGCGGUGAAAUGCGUAGAUAUAUGGAGGAACACCGGUGGCGAAAGCGGCUCUCUGGUCUGUAACUGACGCUGAGGCUCGAAAGCGUGGGGAGCAAACAGGAUUAGAUACCCCAGUAGUCCCUGUCUCUUAUACA
rnacentral:rRNA from 1 species